rnacentral:rRNA from 1 species
UACAGAGGUCUCAAGCGUUGUUCGGAUUCAUUGGGCGUAAAGGGUGUGUAGGUGGCGCGCUAAGUCGGGUGUGAAAUUUCGGAGUUCUAACUCCGAAAACUGCAUUCGAUACUGGCGUGCUUGAGGACUGGAGAGGAGACUGGAAUUCAUGGUGUAGCAGUGAAAUGCGUAGAGAUCAUGAGGAACACCGGUGGCGAAGGCGGGUCUCUGGGCCGAUACUGACGCUGAGGAGCGAAAGCGUGGGGAGCGAACAGG